GACUAUAGUUUAUAGAAAUUCUGUGUCAUUGCUAGGUCUGGAAACAUCGUUAUACCAGUGUGAGAAAAUUAAUCUACUAACUGUCAUCUUUUGUGACCUGCAGUAAUCUCUAUUUAGUAUAGAAUGUACUCGAGACUUUGAAUUGGAGUGAGCCAGUUCAUAACCUGUCAGUCCAGUGGUAGAGCGGUUCUUGUUUUUGGGGGUAAUUGUUUGAUAAACAUUAAAAGUUAAUUGUGCUUCAGUCUAUUUUGAAAAUUUACCUUACCCUCAGGAAGUUCCCGGGUCCUCAGAAUCACCUCUUUAUUAGCAGUUACUUGCAAAUAUGUGGCUUGGAAACUAGUUGGCAAGCAUUCUCUUUCCAUUAUAGCUUCUCCCAUUGUAACUGUUGUUUUUCUCAUUUCUAUUAAUCUGACGGGCCAGAUGGUGCUCUAUUUUAGUAACAUUUGGGAGAAAAUAUACUCUUCUAUUGAAUGAAAAGCUCUUCUUAUUUCCUGUUCUCUGCUCUAGUAUUUUCCCUUGGUCUGCGCUAACACUUCCCCUCCUCUUGUGAUGAGGGACAGUUUUGUGACACUGGCUCUUUGGUCUUUAUUAGCUAAGGGAUUCGGAUGUGAACCCUCUUCUCAGUGCAGCCUUUCCCUGUCCUGAGGUCUUGUUGACUGCUGUUGUCACUUGUCACAUGGCCUAUGAUUGUGCUUAGUCUCUUUCUUUUCCGUAGCUACUCGGGAGAACAUCACUGAACAUUUUGGUUCAACGUGCUGUUAAUUUCUUGCCUUUGCGUUGUGAUCCGAGGAUGCUGGCGGGUGAUGUCUUUGUGCCGAUUGUGUCCAUUCGCAUUCAGCUGCAGCAGAAUGAUGCUGGGGUUGGACGACUGGCCUCCCAGUUCAGGAAGCAGAAUGAGUGACGAGCCCUCUUCCGGAAUGAUGCUGUGGGAACCCUGUGUGUCCCUCUUUAUUCUGCGUCUGCUCACACUCUCUGAGACAGGUGGUGUGAAACCGGCCUCAGUUGCUCCUCCUUCCUCUUUGUGUCUCUGUGUGUAUGCGACACUGUCACUCCGUGUCUUUGGUGGAAUGACCAACCCCUUCGACAGAAGCCUACUCAGGUCUCUGGGUUGGAUGGAGUGUGGUAUCAUGGUGGCCAGGUGACAGGGACCUUGCUCUUGGGGAUUUGUAUUCUGGUGUGAGGCGUGGGAGAGAGAGGGAGGCCUUAAACUAACAGAUAAUAAAUAACUUCAGAUCAUGUGAAUUCCAUGAGUUCAUCCAGCAGGAUAAUCAAUAGAGGGCAGUCCCCAUGGGAACUACACAGCUUGGAACAGUUGUGACGAGCAGGGUUCUCUGAGGAGGUGACCCCUGGCUGUGGUCUGAAUGCUACAUGCAGUUCAGAAAUGGAAGGAGGUGGUUAGGUCCUGGAGUGGACCCUCCUGAGGGGACUCAGGGCUCUUGUGGAAGAGUGAGGUACCGAGUGCCCUUCUGCCAUGUGACAAUACAGCGAGAAGGACUAUCCUCGAGGAAGCAGACCUUCCUGGCCACAGCUUGUGCUGGCACCUUAAUCAUGGAUUCACAGCCCCCAGACUUUGGCCCUCUGAGGCCAUAGCCUCGGAUCCGUGGAGUCAGCCAACAGCAAACCAGACGUGCAGAUUGUCUUCUCCUUACCUCCUAACGACACACCACAGCAGCUCCCUGCAUACGGUGACACUGUACCGCAUGUACCUCAUCUAGAGAAGGUUCAGAGAACAGGAGCAUUUGUGUCCAUCAUAUGCAGGGACCACUUCCUCUGCGUGUGCAGGGCCUGAGCAUCGUGGCUGGGCAUCCAGGGCCUCUUGGAGCCGACCCUGGGGAGACUGCUGGUGACUGUGUCCCUUCUGCUUCCAGUUACUAAUAAAGGACAACCUAAUGGUGGCUUCAGUAAUAAA